CACCCAACUAUUGUUAGGAGCUUUUACCAAAAAAACUAUUGUUAGGAGCUCGGGGCUCAGGGCUUAGGGCUCGUUUGAUCGGGAUCGUCGUGCUUAAUGAAAUAGCCGCGGUUGCCUUGCAACCCUAGGGUUGGAACCUGGAGGGCAGGCAGAGUUUCGCAGCAUGGAGUGAUGCAGUGGGGGCAUUUAAAUGCGAAGAUCGAGGCUGAGGAGGUCAUUCUGCCGGACAACCUGUACGCGAGCGGCCCACCGUCUUUUCUUCCAGCGGCGGUUCAUAACUAGGAUCUUUGUAGGGAGCCUGCAAUAUUAUUGCUUUAGUAGUCAAUGUGGACAUGGAUGUCACUAUCAAGGCAUCCCUGAUAUGGUUUAUUGGGAAGUAACAGUAGUGUUGUCUAACAACAUUUGUUUGAGCGAGGAAGGAUGCCAUCCGAAAUUUUGUUACAGAAAGUGAGUAAGAUACAGAGUAUAAUUACAAGAACCAGGCAACAGGAGGUGCCUUAGAGAAAAAUAAAUGUUGUUUGUGGUCAAACUUGAGAGUUAGAAGAGCUAAACGAGUGACAGCAAGAGACCAAUGCUGAAGAGCAGAAUGCUUCAGAGGAGAAUUCAGAUUGAAAACUUUGGGAUCUUGAAAAACAGCAAAACUCUGCUUGGAGAAGAACAAUAUGUCGAAGCUGCUUUGAGACUGCUUUGAGGUUGCACAAUUCUAUAGAUGACAACAAUUACUCAGCUGGUUGUAGUAUCCUCUAAAAACAGUGAGUAGAAAUUCUGGAUGAAGACCUUAAACCAGCUGCAAUAAGUUCCUGUAACAAAUAAAUCUAGCAAUCAUGGAUCACAAGGGGAUAAGGGAAACAUUUACAUUGUAGCAGCUGUUUCCAUCAUGAGAGAAUUCCUGCUCACUAGCAGCUCUGAAAAUAAUCACAUAAUGACUUGAAGCUGUUUGUAAGCAUGCUCAUCAUUUUUCGCUAAGAUGGAGUCAAACACAUCAUAAACAAAGGUUAGAAAGGUAUCUUUAAUGGGAAAAGUUAUCAUGAUGAAUUGAAAUACAAUGGCAUGCAGAUCGCAUGAACUUGAGAUUAUGGGCCUAUCAGAAGCCAUGGUCUUUUGUUCCAGGAUAACUUCACAGAAGUUAAGGAAUAAUAUGUGGGCUACUUCCGUCGAUCUGUAAGAUAAUAAAGGGGUCACGAUUUGUUGGUGCUUUGCGCUGGUCAAAUCCUCCAAUACUUAAGCUAGAAGAGUGUUUGUAUUGGAACGAAGGAAGAAUCAGAGAGUUGAAGUGUCAUUUAAUUGAAAAUUUAGUAGUUACCUUUGAUGGUGGGUCUUUGGGUUUAUUUAUAACUGAGAGAUAUAAUUGUAUUCUAAUAACUUGGAGUCAUGCUGUAAUGAUAAAAGAUUCUAUUGUAAGUGCAUGAAAUCCAAUUGUAGCCAUUUGGGA